rnacentral:rRNA from 1 species
AGUAACACGUAGUCAACCUACCUUACCGUCCGGGAUAACUAGCCGAAAGGUUAGCUAAUACCUGAUACGAUCGUAGAGCGGCAUCGCUUUUCGAUGAAAGCAGUAAUGCGCGGUUUGAGGGGGCUGCGGCCCAUUAGCUAGUUGGUGAGGUAACGGCCCACCAAGGCAACAAUGGGUAGCUGGUCUGAGAGGACGACCAGCCACACUGGGACUGAGACACGGCCCAG